rnacentral:rRNA from 1 species
CCCUUAGAUGCUCUGGGCCGCACGCGCGCUACACUGGUCGAUGCAACGAGUUUCUUUCCUUGGCCGACAGGCCUGGGCAAUCUUUGAACAUCGAUUGUGAUCGGGAUAGAUUCUUGUAAUUUUUGAUCUUAAACGAGGAAUUCCUAGUAAACGCAAGUCAUCAGCUUGCAUUGAUUACGUCCCUGCCCUUUGUACACACCGCCCGUCGCACCUACCGAUUGAAUGGUCCGGUGAAAUCUCCGGACUGGCGUGAGUCGGAGCAAUCUGACAAACACCGGAAAGUUGAUUAAACCUUACCAUUUAGAGGAAGGUGAAGUCGUANCA